rnacentral:rRNA from 1 species
UACGAGAGGCCCAAACGUUAUUCGGAAUUACUGGGCCUAAAGAGUUCGUAGGCGGCGCAGAAAGUAGGGUGUGAAAGCCCUCGGCUUAACCGAGGAAUUGCGCUCUAAACUACUGUGCUUGAGGAACCUAGAGGUGAGCAGAACUGAUGGUGGAGCGGUGAAAUGCGUUGAUAUCAUCAGGAAUACCGGAGGCGAAGGCGGCUCACUGGGGGUUUUCUGACGCUGAGGAACGAAAGCCAGGGGAGCGAACGGG